ACUUAAACGGCUGGAAGGCGAUUUCAUAUAAAGAAAAAUGAGACGAAAACAGAAACAAUAACUUCACAAAACAAAUCAAGCAAACGAGAAAAACUUAAAAGCGAUUAUGAACAUAUGUAUGUAUGUAUACAUGCAUGUACUCUGUAUAAAUAAGUUAUGUGCACUUUGCAUUGAGGUGGGUUGAGGGAUUGAGGCGCGGUGCGACUGUGUAAAACUUUUAACAGUAUAGUAAAUAAACAAGUAAAUGAUAUUAACCAAGUUGCAGUUGCAGAAAACUCAUACGAAAGCCGAAGACAAACAAAAAGCGAAAAUAAGUACGAAUGAUAAAAACAAGAAUUGUUUAAAAAUUUUGAUGAUACGGCGAAAGCAGCGAUAUGACGAUAUGACGAUAUGACAAAACUCCAACCAAAAGCAGUUGAAGGAGCAGUUUAAAGCCAAGUUUGUCGACCGGCCGAUGAGCUAGCCGGGACAUAUGGAAAGUGAAGAACAUAUGUAUAAAAGCAGCAAAAUAUACUCGUGAAUGCACUGUACGCAGUGAGGAAGAGACUGAAUAACAUUUCUUUGGCUGACGAAUCCCCAACCAAGUGCACCAACAAUAUAAUCCCCCCAACAGAAGAAGAGGCAGCAGCAACAGCACCG